rnacentral:rRNA from 1 species
AAAUUGAAGAGUUUGAUCAUGGCUCAGAUUGAACGCUGGCGGCAGGCCUAACACAUGCAAGUCGAACGGUAACAGGAAGCAGCUUGCUGCUUUGCUGACGAGUGGCGGACGGGUGAGUAAUGUCUGGGAAACUGCCUGAUGGAGGGGGAUAACUACUGGAAACGGUGGCUAAUACCGCAUAAUGUCGCAAGACCAAAGAGGGGGACCUUCGGGCCUCUUGCCAUCAGAUGUGCCCAGAUGGGAUUAGCUUGUUGGUGAGGUAACGGCUCACCAAGGCGACGAUCCCUAGCUGGUCUGAGAGGAUGACCAGCCACACUGGAACUGAGACACGGUCCAGACUCCUACGGGAGGCAGCAGUGGGGAAUAUUGCACAAUGGGCGCAAGCCUGAUGCAGCCAUGCCGCGUGUAUGAAGAAGGCCUUCGGAUUGUAAAGUACUUUCAGCGGGGAGGAAGGUGUUGUGGUUAAUAACC